rnacentral:rRNA from 1 species
UAAGCAUUAUACCGUGAAACUGCGAAUGGCUCAUUAAAUCAGUUAUCGUUUAUUUGAUAGUACCUUACUACUUGGAUAACCGUGGUAAUUCUAGAGCUAAUACAUGCUGAAAACCCCAACUUCGGAAGGGGUGUAUUUAUUAGAUAAAAAACCAACGCCCUUCGGGGCUUCUUGGUGAUUCAUGAUAACUUUACGGAUCGCAUGGCCUUGCGCCGGCGACGGUUCAUUCAAAUUUCUGCCCUAUCAACUUUCGAUGGUAAGGUAUUGGCUUACCAUGGUUUCAACGGGUAACGGGGAAU